rnacentral:rRNA from 1 species
UACGGAGGGUGCAAGCGUUAAUCGGAAUUACUGGGCGUAAAGGGUGCGUAGGCGGUUGUUUAAGUCUGUUGUGAAAUCCCCGGGCUCAACCUGGGAAUGGCAAUGGAUACUGGGCAGCUAGAGUGUGUCAGAGGAUGGUGGAAUUCCCGGUGUAGCGGUGAAAUGCGUAGAUAUCGGGAGGAAUACCAGUGGCGAAGGCGGCUUUCUGGUCUGAUUCUGACGCUGAGGAGCGAAAGCCAGGGGAGCGAACGGG